rnacentral:tRNA from 1 species
UCCCUGGUAGGUCAGUGGCUAAGACUCUGACCUCCCAAGGCAGGCAGCCCAGGUUCGAUCCCUGGUCAGGGAA